rnacentral:tRNA from 1 species
UGCGGGAUCGUCUAGUGGUAGGACACAAGACUUUGGAUCUUGGUACCGGGGUUCGAAUCCCUGUCCCGCAGCCA